rnacentral:lncRNA from 1 species
GUAUUAUUUCUGUAUAUGAAAAAAAAAAAAAAAAAAAAGUCUACUAAUUUUGUUUGGUGCUAAGAGUAAAACCAUUUUUUACAAAAACAUUUCUCCAAGGCCAGGUUUAUCAAAAUUGUUUAAAGGUGCCUCACUCUGCUGAUAGCAUCUAUGUGGAAGCCUCACUAGUAUUGCAAGUCAGUACGAGUAAGGCUUCUAGCAAUUAGACUCUUUUGAAGGUUCUUAACAGGUACCUAUCUAAAUAUUUUUAUCUUGGCAGAGUGUGAAAACUUCCAUCAUGCAGUCUUUGAUCUGGAGUUCUAGAAAUUAAAUUACAGGCUGCCUAGAGGGAUUUUGAAGUGCUAAGCACUCUUCUUUCAGACCAAAUAAAAAGCACAAUUACAGCUCUUACAGUAGUUGUAUAUCUGAUAUUAACAUGGAUUCAUGAAGUAGCUUGGCUAGGUUUGGUCAGAAGCUAUCUCAUAUGAACUGAACAGUUAAUGAAUGGAAAAUGCCAAGACAAAGGCCAGAAGACAGGGAAUAAAACUAAUGGACAAAAGCUGCCCUAAACGGGAGCAGAAAAACAUUUCCAGGUGAAGAGCAGGAAGAGUAAAAUAGGUUAGUAAAUGUGAGAAAAUAAACUGUACUUAACGCUACUAUAUUUUUAUUAUUUUCACAGAAAAAGAAACACAUAUAAUCUUAGAGGAAAACAGAGUUGUACCACAGGAUAUAUCAGUGUCAUAACCUAAAGAAAAUGGUCACAAAACUUCCCAGAAAGAAUGUAUCUUUUGAAAGAAUAAUCAAAGCAAAGCAAGAUUCUGGGGAACAUCUACUUACUAGAAGUAGGAACCUGAAAUGUCCAAAACAGCAUAAAUUCUACAUGGAAAAUAUGUUUGUUUUUAAUACUAUCAUGUAAGAACCAUCCAUCAGAUUGAAACAGCAAGCUGUUACUUAUUUUCAAGAAAAGAGAAAGUACCCUCAAGUCUUACACUAAACAAUGCAAUUUAAGUCUAAGCAGCUCGUAGCACAGAGCCCCUUCCAGAUUUCACAAUGCAGCUUUCUCAAGCAGAAAUCAUCUGUUUGUUGAAGUUUGGCUAUGAUGACAGGAUGCACUGUGAGGCAUAUAAACAUUUCAGUCAUCUACUUUUUUGGGGCUGCUUUGAUUUAAAAUUCAGAAUUCCUUGUCUAUGGUAAUACUCUACUCUAAAAUAAUGUGAAAAUGCCAAGGAAAUGGAAGUCUGAGCCACCGUACAUUGAUUAUGCAAGAAGAAAGAUGCUUUUCCACCUACACUCUAUCUUCCUUUGUGGCAUAAGCCUAAGGACCUUCUGGUUCCAGGGAGCAGAAAUUGAUUUUUGCAGUAUUUUCAGUGAAAUCAAAUAAGGUAUUAAAUACAUUUUCAUACUGAUUGAUUCUUUUUUUAUAUUUUCUUCCUCAAAAUCACCAGAACCACUGGUUGAUUCAGCUGCCUUUUCAAAACAUGCUGAAGAUUCACAUUGCA